rnacentral:rRNA from 1 species
GAUUUAUAAGUGUUGGGGGGUUUCCCCCCUUCAGGGCUGCAGCUAACGCAUUAAGUAAUCCCCCUGGGGAGUUCGACCGCAAGGUUGAAACUCAAAAGAAAUGACGGGGGGCCGCACAAGCGGUGGAGCAUGUGGUUUAAUUUGAAAAUACGCGAAGAACCUUACCAGGUCUUGACAUCAUUUGCCAACCUAAGAGAUUAGGCGUUCCCUUCGGGGACAGAAUGACAGGUGGUGCAUGGUUGUCGUCAGCUCGUGUCGUGAGAUGUUGGGUUAAGUCUCGCAACGAGCGCAACCCUUAUUACUAGUUGCCAGCAUUCAGUUGGGCACUCUAGUGAGACUGCCGGUGACAAACCGGAGGAAGGUGGGGACGACGUCAAAUCAUCAUGCCCCUUAUGACCUGGGCUACACACGUGCUACAAUGGAUGGUACAACGAGUCGCGAAACCGCGAGGUUUAGCUAAUCUCUUAAAACCAUUCUCAGUUCGGACUGUAGGCUGCAACUCGCCUACACGAAGUCGGAAUCGCUAGUAAUCGCGGAUCAGCAUGCCGCGGUGAAUACGUUCCCGGGCCUUGUACACACCGCCCGUCACACCAUGAGAGUUUGUAACACCCAAAGCCGAGGGGGUAACCUUUUAGGAGCUAGCCGUCUAAGGUGGGACAGAUGAUUAGGGUGAAGUCGUAACAAG